rnacentral:rRNA from 1 species
CCUACGGGUGGCAGCAGUGGGGAAUAUUGGGCAAUGGACGCAAGUCUGACCCAGCAACGCCGCGUGAAGGAAGAAGGCUUUCGGGUUGUAAACUUUUUUUAAGGGGGAAGCGCAGAAGACGGUACCCCUUCAAUAAGCCACGGCUAACUACGUGCCAGCAGCCGCGGUAAUACGUAGGAGGCAAGCGUUGUCCGGAUUUACUGGGGGUAAAGGGCGUGCAGGCGGUAAGACAAGUCCGAUGUGAAAUCCACGGGCCCAACCCGUGAACUGCAUUUGAAACUGUUUCCCUUGAGUGUCGGAGAAGUAAUCGGAAUGCGUUGUGUAGCGGUGAAAUGCGUAGAUAUAAGGAAGAACACCGGUGGCGAAGGCAGAAUACUGG